AUUGGUAUCACUUCUUGAAAUAGCAAGCUUUGUGUGUGGACAAGAGCCUUAUGGAUCUUUUGAAUCAUAGGUAAAAAUAAUAUUAAUGCACUAUUUUAGCAAGUGAGCUUCCUCGACUUGUUGAUUCGUUGGACAAAUGGAGCAAUUCAAGUCUGGCCGAGUUCGAUCCUCAGCAAGCCCAAAUUUUGGUUUUAGAGAUUUCAAUUAGAGACAUUGUUGGCACGAGACUCGUGGAGGAUUUUUGAAUAAUGAGAGAAAUAUCAAAAACACUUUUAAACUUAAACGAAAAUUAUUAUAGGUGUUUUGGAAUAAUUGAUGAUUUGUGGGGCAAAAAGAAAAAAGCGUAAAACUUGUCCAAUUAGGAACGAUUUACAAAAUAACAGAUCAGCAAAGGAAAAGAAAGUAGUGGCGCGCGGAAGCAGGAGGAGGAUGAAGGUAAUAACUAUACUUGGGACAAUUUUAUGUGAUCUGUUGCACCAGGUGUUUGCUUUUGUUUAUUGCCUAGCCAAAAUGCUAACAAAAAGGGUACUUUGUUGUAUAUGUGCUCUUAUGUUGUUAGAAUUUCUUAUCAAAACAGAUUAUUAGCUAUAUUUCUUAAAUCUGCCUUUACUCACUACACAGAUUCAGAUGAACCCAAGAGAAAGCUAUGAAGAACAGCAUAAUUCAGGAAUUAUUGUUUGUUCCUUUCCAGCUAGCUCUCUGUUGAUGAUCUUGUGAAGUUUCUUGGUACAGGACACACUGAAUUGCCAUCUCUGUGCAAUUUUUGUUACUUAUGUUAGCCUUCCUAACCAACAAGGGAAAAUUACUCUUCACUUCAGCUCCUGUCAACUUCCUCUUAUUAAACAAGACUACAACCAAACGCGAUUUAAUUUGUCCAUCUUUUAUGACAAGUACAUGAGGUGAAGGGUUAGUACUUCACUGUGUAGGGGUCCAUGUUUCACGCGAAAGAGCGAAACCUGGCAUGAUUGCUUGUACUCCGAUCCCCCACAUUUAGUUAUUCUUAUCAUCUGGCAUUCAGUGUAGUCAAACCAAUAGUUGUUUAGGUACUUUGUUAAUGUGUGGCUCGCUUUAGCUGUUGAUUCUACGAGAAGCUAUGUUUGUCCAGCUCAGGUACAUGAGCAUGUCAUGUUAUUCUUUUCAAUGCGUUGUUUUGAA